GAAACAGUUUAAAUCCUAUUACCCGACGUUAAGAUAUUUAACGUUCGCCUGACGUUAUACUCUGCACCACACUUUUCGAGCGACUUUAAUACGUAAUUGCCAACGUAAACCAACGUUUUGUCAUCAAACGUUGUAAAACGCUAACGUUGUGAAAUGUCGCCUGUGGUCAUUUCUGACUGACGUUAAGAAAUUGCGAGAAAUGGUAACAAAUUCUGCCUAAAAAAUGUAGAGAUAUGAGUGUAGGUGUACAACUUAAUUCGGUCCGUUUUUUUGCUUGAAAAACGCAUUUAUUGUGAAAGAACGGUACGUACGGUUUUAUUCAAAGUAUUGUCCAUCGCUAGCCACUAUUUUUUCCCAUCUUUCUAGCAGUAUAUGGAUACCGCGUCGGAAUAGCGACGUUCAUCCUUUGAGGCUAUCCACAAAUCGACCCAAUUUUUGAUAUUUUCAUAUGAUGUGAAGUGCUGCUCAGACAGGCCGUGCGCCAUCGACCGAAAUAAAUGGUAAUCAGAGGGAGCAAUGUCUGGUGAAUACAGCGGGUGGGGUAGGACUUCCCAUUUCAAAGUUUCCAAAUAUGUUUUGACGGGUUUUGCGACAUGGGGUCGAGCAUUGUCAUGCUGCAAAAUCACUUUAUCGUGUCUAUCGUUGUUGAAAUGGCUUGUCGAGUCACUCCCAAUGAUCCUGCCAAUUCUUCUUGCGUUUGACACGAGUCUUGAUCAAGUAAUGCCUUCAAUUCUGCAUCUUCGAAAACCUUAUUUCUUCCACCGCCAUGCCGGUCUUCGACGUCAAAAUCACCGUUUUUGAAGCAUUAAAACCACUCUCGGCACGUUCUUUCACUAAUAGCGGCCUCACCAUACGUAUUUGAGAGCAUUCGAUGAGCCUCAGCCACAGAUUUUUUCAUAUUGAAGCAGAAAAUUAAAACCUCCCGCAAAUGACGAGAAUUUGGCUCGUAAGCUGACAUUUUCAAUCGAGAAUAACUUUAUGAUGCAGACACAAAUCGACUAAUAUUUCUAUGGCGUUAUGUUUACAAAUGCCUAAGCUUAUUGUAUGACGUCUGCGAUCUAUUUAUUUCGACCACCACUUACCGCUACAGCCAUCUUUUGAAAACGGACCGAACUAAGUUGUACACCUAAUAAAACAUUCGGUUUGAUGUGACGUUUGACUUUUUUGCAGAGGUUAAAUAUUUGUAAAAUAUGGAAAAACAGAAAAAAAAGUUUAAACAUUUUCCCACCUUUUAUAGAAAAAGGCUAAAACUUUGUGAACAAUUUAAAAAGGAUCUAAAGCAUAGAGAUGAUUUUAAGAGAAAAAAAAUAACACAUCAGAAUCAUCAAAAGAUAUAGAUAUAGAUCAAGAUGUAAAUCUUGAGACUCCCAUCCAAGCUUCAAGGUCAGGAAAAUCAACAAAUUUUCCUGAAUUACCAAAAUUUUCUGAUAUGGAAACUGAAGAUAUCGACAUACAAUCGUUAUAUGACCAUGAGGAAAUUUUUUUUAAGACCAAGACAAGGUGCUAAAGGUUAUUGAAAAUUUAAGAGACUGGGCCCUGAGGAAUUGUAUUACGCAUGUUGCUCUGAAUGAAUUGUUAUACCUUUUGUCUCAGGUUGAUGGUUUUAACAAUUUACCCAAAGAUUGUAGAAUCUUACUACAAACUCCACAAAAAGUAGAAAUUGUGCCAAUGGGAACUGGCCACUUUUGGUAUUAUGGGAUCAAACAGAGUUUAACUAACAUUCUACUUAGCAACGAAGGUAUUACAAAACCAGUGAAUGUUGCAAUAAAUUUUUAUAUAGAUGGUCUACCAAUAAAUAAUAGUUCAAAAACCCAAUUUUGGCCAAUUCUGAUGAAAAUUGCUGAAUUUUCAAAUGUUGCUCCACAAGUCGUGGCAAUUUAUUGUGAUGAGAGUAAACUUCCUGUUAAAUUAUUUUUUCGAGAGUUUGUCACUGAACUUAACAACCUAUUCAAGGAAUGCAGAUAAAUAAGUUUCAAAUAAAAAUAAAUGCCUUUAUAUGUGAUACACCUGCACGUGCUUUUUCAAAAUGUAUCUGUAUAAAGUAAAGCUAAAGGAGAGAGAGAGAGAUUGUGUAGGUGCAGCCACCUAUACAUUUCAUAUUGCGGUAGGUCAGGUCGCGCGGUAUGCGUAGAACGGUGAAAAUGCGCGCAAUAGGCGCCGACCGCGUUGCGUCCCAGGCGGCCCGGCGUAGGGCGUUCGCGCGCUUGCGUGAGCAUGUUGGGAGGGGCGCGCAGCCCGGGCGAGCGAGCAUUCGUCUUCCGGAUGUCUCGCGACACACACCCGUUGUAUUCGGUGUUCUAUAACUUAAUAAUUGCGUCAUUCUUUUCCGCAGUGAAUAGUACAUUUGAGUCGUGGCGUGAUAAAAUUCUGAUGUUCGAGGUGAAACAGUUAUUGUAUCGGUUUAUCGUAUAUGCGAUACGUUUGAGCGGCGACGUUCGUCGAAAUAAAGGACACGAGCCCUGUUGGAAAAUUACUGCGACGAUUCUGGAAACGAGGAAAGGCAGCCAUAUUGGGAACGUUCUAGAAGGCCUGUUCAGAUGGAAUACGAGAAGCCACUUACAAAUCGAGAAGGAAGCCGUCCGUGGCUUGGUCUGUAAGACCAUUUAUAAUUCCAAAUACUGUUUAUAUGACGAGAACUUCGAUUCAAAGCUUGCCGACAUAUCGAGAGGGCAAGCUGAGAGGAAAACUUCCUCGAUGAUCGAAGAGUUGUGCACAAUUUGUUUCGAGUCACGUAAUAUAUAUGAGCUCAUGUAAGGUUUAUAUACUUUGUUUAAUUCAUUGAUUGCAAUCAGUUACUGAUUAUAACAAACUGUAAAAUAUUUCUUAUUCUUUUCUUUGCGUUCGAAAAAGCGUGAUCAUUAGAUCUUUUGUAUUCAAUUACAUAUAACGUACAUACGUACUUGCGUUGUUGUCCUUGUUUGCAAUAACCGAUUAAUAUUAGCUCGAGUUUUUAUAUUGAUUAAAGUCUCUUGAAAUAUUCUAUUCAUUCAUAUGUUUAAACGUGAACAAUUGACAAAUUAGAAUUAUUCUCGUAAAUAUUUCGCUAAUUAUUUCGUAGUGAUUCUGAAUGA